UACGUAGGGUGCGAGCGUUGUCCGGAAUUAUUGGGCGUAAAGAGCUCGUAGGCGGCCUGUUACGUCUGCUGUGAAAUCCCGGGGCUUAACCCCGGAACUGCAUUGGAUACUGCCUUGCUUGAGUACUGGAGAGGGAACUGGAAUUUACGGUGUAGCAGUGAAAUGCGUAGAGAUCGUAAGGAAGGCCAGUGGCGAAGGCGAGUUCCUGGACAGUUACUGACGCUGAGGCACGAAGGCCAGGGGAGCAAACGGG
rnacentral:rRNA from 1 species